rnacentral:lncRNA from 1 species
AGGAGUUUCACAUCUCCUGUCUCCAGCUAGAGCCUCCAGAAGUCCUAGGGGCAGGGCAAGCUGGUCCCCAAAAGAGGAUCAGAACACCAGAGAGACCAAGAAGGCCCUGGACAGGCCAGCUCACUUGGUCCAGCCCCAGGCCCCACACCUGUAACAAGGGCCGUGAUGACAGAGGUCUCAGCAAACAGCCCGCGGCCAAGGAGCUGGUGCAGCGAGGAGGGCAGGGGCCCACGCGCAGCCAUCCUCCAGAGAGCAUCAGUCUAGGCUGCAAGCUUGAAGCGGAGCAGAGAGUGGGGAGCAGUUUCCCCAGGGAGAUCUGCACUCAGCCAUGGAAUUAAUUCACUGGGUAUCAGGCACUGGAUACACAUCACUUCAAAUUCUCAACACCCUGGAAAGGUCAGGGUCAAGGUCGGUCGCCGCUUUCUGCCAUCCAGCAUCAGCACCCUCUUCCAAUUAGCACCAUCCAUGCGCCCUGGGGGAUGCGCCCCUCGGCGCAGCGCAGUCUUGGUGGAAGGAUCGUGUGUUACAGGUAUAAUCAAAGCGGUUCAUUUUCCCUCUCCCUUUCCUCUAUGGACUCGGCCCAUCGGACACUGUCCCAGGAUUUUGAGAUUUCAGCUGGUGAUGCAAAGAGAAGCCUGGGUUCACCUGGAACAUCUGGAGCACUAUGAAUGGGUCGCCUGGCCGUGUGGGUCCUGCAGCCCUGCGAGGUCCCUUGGAGGCUGCCUGCUUUCCAAGCCUGUUUUCAUGCCCUUCAGUUCUUCGAACCUCCAGCCCCCAGAGCUGCUCAGCGCAUGCCAUUUGUCGUUUCAUGUAGGGUCAGUUUCUGCUGCCUGUAAUCAUGAGUUUGGUCUGGUCUCUAGGGAUUUGUGGUCCCCAGUUUACAGAUCAGAAAGUUAAGCUCUGGACUAUGGCUCUUAAGCAAAAAGCUCCCCUCCUAGAGAACUCACAGAUCAAGAAGUAUCCAUCUAGGCUGGGCCAGGCCGGAUCUGGAGGUUUGGGAUCUAAAAAGAGAAUGACUCUCUGGGUUAGUUUCCUCACUGAGGCAUGCACACCAGUGUAUCCCCGGCUUGUGCAUUCAGUGUGACCAAAUCCAGGUCCGCACAGAAUGGCAGCUUGGUUUUGUGCAGAGUGUCACUGGUGUGGCACACAGCGAUUUGAGUUAGAACACAGAUAAAAACACGUGUUUAAGAAAUGCUAGGGAGUUCCCGUUGUGACACAUCAGAAAACAAAUCUGACUAGUAUCCAUGAGGUUGCAUGUUCGAUCCCUGGCCUUUCUCAGUGGGUUAAGGAUCCAGCAUUGCCGGGGGCUGUGGUAUAGGUCACGGAUGUGGCUUGGAUCCCCCAUGGCUGUGGCUGUGGUGUAGGCUGGCAGCUACAGCUCCGAUUGGAUCCCUAGCCCGGGAACCUCUAUAUGCCACG